GAUGAAGAACGCAGCGAAAUGCGAUAAGUAAUGUGAAUCGCAGAAUUCAGUGAAUCAUCGAAUCUUUGAACGCACAUUGCGCCCGCCAGUAUUCUGGCGGGCAUGCCUGUUCGAGCGUCAUUUCAACCAUCAAGCCCCAGGCUUGUGUUGGGGACCUGCGGCUGCCGCAGGCCCUGAAAACCAGUGGCGGGCUCGCUGUCACACCGGGCGUAGUAGAUUUUAUCUCGCUCAGGGCGUGCUGCGGGUUCCGGCCGUUAAAAAGCCUUUUUUACCCAAGGUUGACCUCGGAUCAGGUAGGAAGACCCGCUGAACUUAAGCAUAUCAAUAAGCGGAGGA
rnacentral:misc_RNA from 1 species